UGGGGAAUAUUGCACAAUGGGCGAAAGCCUGAUGCAGCAACGCCGCGUGAGUGAUGAAGGCCUUCGGGUUGUAAAGCUCUGUCUUUUGGGACGAUAAUGACGGUACCAAAGGAGGAAGCCACGGCUAACUACGUGCCAGCAGCCGCGGUAAUACGUAGGUGGCAAGCGUUGUCCGGAUUUACUGGGCGUAAAGGAUGCGUAGGCGGAUUUUUAAGUGAGAUGUGAAAACCCUAAGCUUAACUUGGGGACUGCACUUCAUACUGGAAAUCUAGAGUGCGGGAGAGGAGAAUGGAAUUCCUAGUGUAGCGGUGAAAUGCGUAGAGAUUAGGAAGAACACCAGUGGCGAAGGCGAUCCUCUGGACCGUAACUGACGCUGAGGCAUGAAAGCGUGGGUAGCAAACAGGAUUAGAUACCCUGGUAGUCCACGCCGUAAACGAUGAGUACUAGGUGUAGGAGGUAUCGACCCCUUCUGUGCCGCAGUUAACACAAUAAGUACUCCGCCUGGGAAGUACGAUCGCAAGAUUAAAACUUAAAGGAAUUGACGGGGUCAUAGCUGUUUCC
rnacentral:rRNA from 1 species